rnacentral:rRNA from 1 species
AGAGUUUGAUCAUGGCUCAGGAUGAACGCUGGCGGUAUGCUUAACACAUGCAAGUCGAACGGAACUUUUAGGAGUUUAGUGGCGGACGGGUGAGUAACGCGUGAGAAUCUGGCCAUAGGUUGGGGACAACCACUGGAAACGGUGGCUAAUACCGAAUAAGCCGAGAGGUGAAAGAUUAAUUGCCUAAGGAAGAGCUCGCGUCUGAUUAGCUAGUUGGUGGGGUAAGAGCCUACCAAGGCACCGAUCAGUAACUGGUCUGAGAGGAUGGCCAGUCACACUGGGACUGAGACACGGCCCAGACUCCUACGGGAGGCAGCAGUGGGGAAUUUUCCGCAAUGGGCGAAAGCCUGACGGAGCAAUACCGCGUGAGGGAGGAAGGCUCUUGGGUCGUAAACCUCUUUUCUCAGGGAAGAACAAAAUGACGGUACCUGAGGAAUAAGCAUCGGCUAACUCCGUGCCAGCAGCCGCGGUAAUAC